GACGAACGCUGGCGGCGUGCUUAACACAUGCAAGUCGAACGGUGAAGCGCCUUCCUUUUUGGUGGGUGUGGAUGAGUGGCGAACGGGUGAGUAACACGUGAGUAACCUGCCCCCUUCUUCUGGAUAACCGCAUGAAAGUGUGGCUAAUACGGGAUAUUCUGGGUCUGUCGCAUGAUGGGUCUGGGAAAGAUAUUGUUUCGGUGGGGGAUGGGCUCGCGGCCUAUCAGCUUGUUGGUGGGGUGAUGGCCUACCAAGGCGGUGACGGGUAGCCGGCCUGAGAGGGUGGACGGUCACACUGGGACGGAGACACGGCCCAGACUCCUACGGGAGGCAGCAGUGGGGAAUAUUGCACAAUGGGCGCAAGCCUGAGGCAGCGACGCCGCGUGAGGGAUGGAGGCCGUCGGGUUGUGAACCUCUUUCGCCAGUGAAGCAGGCCUGCCUCGUUUGUGGGUGGGUUGACGGUAGCUGGAUAAGAAGCGCCGGCUAACUACGUG
rnacentral:rRNA from 1 species